rnacentral:rRNA from 1 species
AUUGAACGCUGGCGGCAGGCCUAACACAUGCAAGUCGAGCGAGCGGCGGACGGGUGAGUAAUGUCUGGGGACUGCCCGAUAGAGGGGGAUAACUACUGGAAACGGUGGCUAAUACCGCAUACUGUCGGAUAACCCAUAUGGGAUUAGCUAGUAGGUAAGGUAAUGGCUUACCUAGGCGACGAUCCCUAGCUGGUCUGAGAGGAUGAGCAGCAACACGGGAACUGAGACACGGCCCAGAUCCCUACGGAGGAAGCAGUGGGAAAUAUUGCAUAAGGGGCGAAAGCCUGAUGCAGCCAUGCCGCGUGGAUGAAGAUGUCUCUAGGGUUGUAAAGUACGUUCAGUCGGGAGGCGUAACCGACAGAAGAAGCACAGGCUAACUCCGUGCCAGCAGCCGCGGUAUAC